CAGUAGCCGCGGUAAUACGUAGGGUGCGAGCGUUAAUCGGAAUUACUGGGCGUAAAGCGUGCGCAGGCGGUUCGUUAAGACAGAUGUGAAAUCCCCGGGCUUAACCUGGGAACUGCAUUUGUGACUGGCGAGCUAGAGUAUGGCAGAGGGGGGUAGAAUUCCACGUGUAGCUGUGAAAUGCGUAGAGAUGCGGAGGAAUACCGAUGGCGAAGGCAGCCCCCUGGGCCAAUACUGACGCUCAUGCACGAAAGCGUGGGGAGCAAACAGGAUUAGAUACCCGGGUAGUCCCUGUCUCUUAUAC
rnacentral:rRNA from 1 species